UACGGAGGGUGCAAGCGUUAUCCGGAUUUACUGGGUUUAAAGGGUGUGUAGGCGGACUUUUAAGUCAGCGGUGAAAUCUCCGGGCUUAACUCGGAAUGGUCAGGUGAUACUGCUUUGCUAGAGUGCAGAAGGGGCAAUCGGAAUUCUUGGUGUAGCGGUGAAAUGCGUAGAUAUCAAGAGGAACACCUGAGGUGAAGACGGGUUGCUGGGCUGACACUGACGCUGAGGCGCGAAAGCUAGGGGAGCAAACGGG
rnacentral:rRNA from 1 species